UACCGAGGGUGCGAGCGUUAAUCGGAAUUACUGGGCGUAAAGCGCGCGUAGGCGGCUUUGCAAGUCGAGUGUGAAAUCCCCAGGCUUAACCUGGGAACUGCAUUCGAGACUGCAUAGCUAGAGUAUGGGAGAGGGAAGUGGAAUUUCAGGUGUAGCGGUGAAAUGCGUAGAUAUCUGAAGGAACAUCAGUGGCGAAAGCGACUUCCUGGACCAAUACUGACGCUCAUGUGCGAAAGCGUGGGGAGCAAACAGG
rnacentral:rRNA from 1 species